UACGGAGGGUGCGAGCGUUGUUCGGAAUCACUGGGCGUAAAGCGCGUGUAGGCGGCCUUGUAAGUCUGGUGUGAAAGCCCGGGGCUUACCCCCGGAAGUGCACUGGAAACUGUGAGGCUUGAGUACCGGAGAGGAAGGUGGAAUUCCUGGUGUAGCGGUGAAAUGCGUAGAUAUCAGGAGGAACACCGGUGGCGAAGGCGGCCUUCUGGACGGAUACUGACGCUGAGACGCGAAAGCGUGGGGAGCAAACAGG
rnacentral:rRNA from 1 species